rnacentral:rRNA from 1 species
GGGGGCAAUAGCCGUGAGAGUUGAAGAUUAAUGCCCCAUGGUAUUGAGAGUUGGCAUCAACUUUUAAUUAAAGAUUUAUCGGUAAAAGAUGGCUAUGCGUCCUAUUAGUUAGUUGGUAAGGUAACGGCUUACCAAGACAGCGAUAGGUAGGGGUCCUGAGAGGGAGAUCCCCCACACUGGUACUGAGACACGGACCAGACUCCUACGGGAGGCAGCAGUGAGGAAUAUUGGACAAUGGAGGAGACUCUGAUCCAGCCAUGCCGCGUGUAGGAAGAAUGCCCUAUGGGUUGUAAACUACUUUUAUACAGGAAGAAACAGUGGUAUGUAUACCACCUUGACGGUACUGUAAGAAUAAGGACCGGCUAACUCCGUGCCAGCAGCCGCGGUAAUACGGAGGGUCCAAGCGUUAUCCGGAAUCAUUGGGUUUAAAGGGUCCGCAGGCGGUCAAUUAAGUCAGAGGUGAAAUCCCAUAGCUUAACUAUGGAACUGCCUUUGAUACUGGUUGACUUGAGUCAUAUGGAAGUAGAUAGAAUGUGUAGUGUAGCGGUGAAAUGCAUAGAUAUUACACAGAAUACCGAUUGCGAAGGCAGUCUACUACGUAUGUACUGACGCUGAGGGACGAAAGCGUGGGGG